rnacentral:rRNA from 1 species
CCUACGGGUGGCUGCAGUGGGGAAUAUUGGACAAUGGGGGGAACCCUGAUCCAGCCAUGCCGCGUGUGUGAAGAAGGCCCUCGGGUUGUAAAGCACUUUCAGUGAGGAAGAACGCCUGGUGGUUAAUACCCAUCAGGAAAGACAUCACUCACAGAAGAAGCACCGGCUAACUCCGUGCCAGCAGCCGCGGUAAUACGGAGGGUGCGAGCGUUAAUCGGAAUUACUGGGCGUAAAGCGCGCGUAGGUGGCUUGAUAAGCCGGUUGUGAAAGCCCCGGGCUCAACCUGGGAACGGCAUCCGGAACUGUCAAGCUAGAGUGCAGGAGAGGAAGGUAGAAUUCCCGGUGUAGCGGUGAAAUGCGUAGAGAUCGGGAGGAAUACCAGUGGCGAAGGCGGCCUUCUGGACUGACACUGACACUGAGGUGCGAAGGCGUGGGUAGCAAACAGGAUUAGAUACCCCGGUAGUC